AACAAAUCUAAAGAGGAAUAACUCAUCAAUGUAAUUUCAUCCACGCCAUUUAUUUCCAUCCUUUUUUUCCUUCUUUCUUUCUAAACUAAAUCAUCACGUGAAGAAUAAGUUUCAAUGUAAUGAUAGUUGUAUACAUUUUAUUCCCAUUUCUUAAAUUUUCAUGGGUGCAUUUUUGCUCACUACUUUAACUCAAGGUAUAUCAUCACUACACUUCUCAACAUUUGACAUUUGUCUAUUGGUAUAAUCAUGGUUGGUUCCACAAAUACAAAUCAAAGAGUUAAUUAUGGUUAUGCCUAUGGAUACACGUCAAGUGUUGAGAAUGGU
rnacentral:lncRNA from 1 species